GUCGAGCGGAUGAGUGGAGCUUGCUCCAUGAUUCAGCGGCGGACGGGUGAGUAAUGCCUAGGAAUCUGCCUGGUAGUGGGGGACAACGUUUCGAAAGGAACGCUAAUACCGCAUACGUCCUACGGGAGAAAGUGGGGGAUCUUCGGACCUCACGCUAUCAGAUGAGCCUAGGUCGGAUUAGCUAGUUGGUGAGGUAAAGGCUCACCAAGGCGACGAUCCGUAACUGGUCUGAGAGGAUGAUCAGUCACACUGGAACUGAGACACGGUCCAGACUCCUACGGGAGGCAGCAGUGGGGAAUAUUGGACAAUGGGCGAAAGCCUGAUCCAGCCAUGCCGCGUGUGUGAAGAAGGUCUUCGGAUUGUAAAGCACUUUAAGUUGGGAGGAAGGGCAGUAAGUUAAUACCUUGCUGUUUUGACGUUACCAACAGAAUAAGCACCGGCUAACUUCGUGCCAGCAGCCGCGGUAAUACGAAGGGUGCAAGCGUUAAUCGGAAUUACUGGGCGUAAAGCGCGCGUAGGUGGUUCGUUAAGUUGGAUGUGAAAGCCCCGGGCUCAACCUGGGAACUGCAUCCAAAACUGGCGAGCUAGAGUAUGGCAGAGGGUGGUGGAAUUUCCUGUGUAGCGGUGAAAUGCGUAGAUAUAGGAAGGAACACCAGUGGCGAAGGCGACCACCUGGGCUAAUACUGACACUGAGGUGCGAAAGCGUGGGGGAGCAAACAGGAUUAGAUACCCUGGUAGUCCACGCCGUAAACGAUGUCGACUAGCCCGUUGGGAUCCUUGAGAUCUUAGUGGCGCAGCUAACGCAUUAAGUCGACCGCCUGGGGGAGUACGGCCGCAAGGUUAAAACUCAAAUGAAUUUGAC
rnacentral:rRNA from 1 species